ACUGUAAUGCACAAUGGACAGUCACAGCUCAGUUCCCCUGGCUGUGGAGGUUUGGGGACACAAAAUGCAACCCCGCGGGCUAGUGCAAGGGCUAGUCAUUCUGGGCUGUUCCUGCUGUUUCCCCAAGCCCAGCAGACUGAGACCUCAGAGGAAGGGAGGGCCUUUUGAUCUGCUUCUGGGUAUCUCUGCUGCUUCCGAGUGCCUCCUCUUGCAGACAGCGGAGCGAUAAGAGACGGGGAGGAGAGCCUCGUUUGGACUGAGGAGUUCUGGCACUCCUGCAGGAGAUCUCUGCUCCCAGGACACCCUGGUGUCCCUACACACAGCGGCAUCCCUGCUGCAGAGCCUGUCGAGAUGCUCCAGCACCGGGUCUGCAGGGUGCUGCUGAAAUUACUCAGUCUGUCAUCUGGCCCUAGGUAUUUAACGCGACUCCUCCAGUGGCUGUACAGCUUUGCUGGUGAAGCACGAGGGAAUUCUUUCUUCCCCCCGCUCCUUUUCUACAAACCAUGGUUGCUAUAGCAAAUGGACUUCUGAAUAAACAGAUGUUUCCUGGAGAUCAAAGCAAAAAUCAGUGUACCAUGCAGGUAACCCUGCCUUGCUGGAGCAUUUUGGGGAUGGUUAAUUUAAUCAGCUUAGAGUUUCUUCUCGCUGGCCUGCUGUGUGGGUAUGCAACUCGUACAGCUUGCAGAUAGACCAGCUUUGUAGCUAGUCUUUGUACCUCCCUUACAAAAGCAUUUUGCAUUUUCUGUGGGCAGGCCCUGACCUGUUUAGCCGGGGACUUUUUGGAUUGCCACCCCUUUGAUAUGGAUGUUGACUGGAGACUUGGGCAUUCUUGAAAAUCCUGUAUCAUAAAGAAAUGUUCAUUAUCCCAUGCACUAGACUGCUGGGCUAUGUAAAGCAUCUGCAGCUUUUAAUUCUCUUAAGUAGAAAUACUUUUUCUGUAAAACAAACAGAAAAAGCUGAUAACU